GAGAGUAUAGCUCAGUGGUAGAGCGCAUGCUUACCACGCACGAGGCCCUGAGUUCAAUCCCCAGGACCCCUC
rnacentral:tRNA from 1 species